rnacentral:lncRNA from 10 species
ACAUUCUGGGGCACAAAUAACCUGGUGUUUGUAGAGGCGGAGGACUAGUCCACCAAAUGAAGUAAUAGCUUAUUCAAAUGGACUCAGCAGCUUGUGGGAGGAAGAUCAAGCUGAGCAAGCCCAUUCAGCGACCCUGCCAAAGGUUGUCCCAACUUCAGCCCGCUGCUGUUAUCGCCCCCAGCUUCCAAGCUAGGCUGGACAAACUGCAUGCAUUUUGCCUACACAGAAAAAGAUUACUUCUCUUCCAAAUAACCUUGCUCAACCUACAAAAGCUUGCCGUUUUAUUCAUCAGUGAGAGGCAGUUAGUCAAGAUUCUAGCUGCCAUUUGUGACUCAUCCACACCUGUGAAGUGAGUAGAUAAGUAACAUUACAAUAUAAAUAAAUUCAGACAUCAAGGAAGGCAAAUCGUGAUUAUUCCUCUAAUAGAAAGUGACUCAAGGGUGCGUAGGAACAUCUGGGACAUUGAUGUUCAUUUCAUGUGACUGUUAGAAGAGUGCUUCUAUUCUGAGAAUGUGACCCUGGUGUGGUGAAGUUUUCUGUGGAGCCUUUUGAAAUUUAUAGUCAGUGACGUGGAAUGUCCAUCCAGGAGGAGUCUGACAAAUGCUGUGCCAGUCGAGGUUCAGCACCGUAGGUGUAGCGCAGGCGAAAUACGGUGCUGGAGCUUUGAGUACAAGCUGAAACACCGCACACCACCUCCUCUCUCUACCAUUCAGAACACUCUUUACAAAACUAAAAAACUGCCCCCCAAAAAAAAGAAAAAUAUAAAUGCAAACAUAAUAAAAUAAAAGGAAUAUUUCCCAGCUUCUGGAAAGAAAGCCAAGCCAAUGAUCUCUCUUAUAGGUGACAUGGGAUAGAGGAUCCCAUUCCAGAUUCCCCCAGGUGCUCCAUGAAACAGCACAGACUCUGGUUUUCCAUCAUCUCAGUUCCGGGGCCUUAAGGCCUCCCCCUUACCUCUCCUCUGAGUUCCUGUGGAAUCCACACUCCAGAGGUGGCCGCCCCACAGCCUGGGGCCUCCCCAGGGAGCUCUCAUUUGGGACUGCCCCAGCUCUGAUGUGUCAGGAGAGGCAUUUGCCUUUAGCCACCUGUUCAUUUGGGGGAAUUCUCCUAUAGGCUCCCUGUGUUCCCAGUUCUACAUUCAAAUCAUUCUGGGUCUUUUGGUCCUUGUGAUAAAACAUGAAACAGCAGAAAUAAACGUUUAACUAUUAAAACAAAGAGACCAAUUAAUUAUUGUUGUGGAAGUAUGUGAUGCUAUAUUAAAAACUAUUUUGGAA